rnacentral:rRNA from 1 species
UACGUAGGGUGCGAGCGUUGUCCGGAAUUACUGGGCGUAAAGAGCUCGUAGGUGGUUUGUCGCGUUGUUCGUGAAAACUCACAGCUCAACUGUGGGCGUGCGGGCGAUACGGGCAGACUGGAGUACUGCAGGGGAGACUGGAAUUCCUGGUGUAGCGGUGGAAUGCGCAGAUAUCAGGAGGAACACCGGUGGCGAAGGCGGUUCUCUGGCCGUAACUGACGCUGAGGAGCGAAAGCGUGGGGAGCAAACAGG